GGAGUCGGCCAGACAGUCGCGUCAUCCGGGACCAUUUCGGUGGAACCGGGUGCCGAGGAAAGUCCGGGCUCCACAGGGCACGGUGCCAGGUAACGCCUGGGCGGCGCGAGCCGACGGAAAGUGCAACAGAAAGAUACCGCCGAACGGCUUCGCAAGAAGCGCGUGGCAAGGGUGAAAUGGUGCGGUAAGAGCGCACCGCGAGCCUGGCAACAGGCCGGCACGGCAAACCCCACCGGGAGCAAGACCAAAUAGGGACCUAAUGGCGCGGCCCGCGUCGGGUCCGGGUAGGUUGCUUGAGCGUAUCGGCGACGAUGCGCCUAGAGGAAUGACUGUCCACGACAGAACCCGGCUUAUCGGCCGGCUCCGCUA
rnacentral:RNase_P_RNA from 1 species